GAGGUUGUGGCUCAGUGGUAGAGUGCUCGCCUCACAGUGUGGGGCCCUGAGUUCAAUCCUCAGGACCACA
rnacentral:tRNA from 1 species